GAUGAACGCUGGCGGCGUGCCUAAUACAUGCAAGUCGAGCGAACAGACGAGGAGCUUGCUCCUCUGACGUUAGCGGCGGACGGGUGAGUAACACGUGGAUAACCUACCUAUAAGACUGGGAUAACUUCGGGAAACCGGAGCUAAUGCCGGAUAAUAUAUUGAACCGCAUGGUUCAAUAGUGAAAGACGGUUUUGCUGUCACUUAUAGAUGGAUCCGCGCCGCAUUAGCUAGUUGGUAAGGUAACGGCUUACCAAGGCAACGAUGCGUAGCCGACCUGAGAGGGUGAUCGGCCACACGGGAACUGAGACACGGUCCAGACUCCUACGGGAGGCAGCAGUAGGGAAUCUUCCGCAAUGGGCGAAAGCUUGACGGAGCAACGCCGCGUGAGUGAUGAAGGUCUUCGGAUCGUAAAACUCUGUUAUUAGGGAAGAACAAAUGUGUAAGUAACUAUGCACGUCUGGACGGUACCUAAUCAGAAAGCCACGGCUAACUACGU
rnacentral:rRNA from 1 species